rnacentral:lncRNA from 12 species
AUGGUGCAUUUCAACAGACUUUACUUCAGUUGUAACAUUGACCAGAGCAAAGGUGACCACCAUGCCAGGCUUAAGAACACCAGUCUCCACUCGACCCACUGGGACAGUACCAAUACCACCAAUUUUGUAGACGUCCUGGAGAGGCAGAUGCAAGGUCUUAUUAGUUGGAUGAGUUGGUGGCAGAAUGCAAUCCAGAGCUUCAAACAGUGUGGUUCCAGUGGCAUUCCCAUCUUUACGGGUGACUUUCCAUCCCUUGAACCAAGGCAUGUUAGCACUUGGCUCCAGCAUGUUGUCACCAUUCCAACCAGAAACUGGCACAAAUACUACUGUGUCGGGGUUGUAGCCAAUUUUCUUAAUGUAGGUGCUGACUUCCUUAAUGAUUUCCUUGUAUCUCUUCUGGCUGUAGGGUGGUUCAGUGGGGAGGGAGAUUCCACCGUGGAGCCCUCCACUGAAAUGUGAAAGGGAAGCCCCAGACGCUGGUAUCACCCAAGGGAGAGGUGAGCACUGAGGACUGGCCUGAGCUGAGCAUCACAGAGCCUCUGAACCAGGUGGGAGGAGAAGGAAGAGGAGGCAGGGGCUGGAGGGAAGGGAGCCUAGGAACCCCGAGAGGAGGGGUGCCCGGGAAGCAGUGGGUGGGAGGGCUGGCCUGAUGGUGCAGGUCAGACCUGGAGACAGAGCUGGGACACACGGAGGGGCAGACGCUGGAGAGGCAGGAGGCAUGGCCGCUGCACCGCUGCACUCACUACCCAGGAUGGGCUCCGAGGGCGCAUGGCCCGAGGGCAGUGCCAGGUCACCUUGGACUCCAGCCUGAACCUCAGCGCCCUGGGAGUGUCCCCCCUGAGACCCUGGGGUUGAGGCCCCCGUGGGAGACCUCCUGGCUCCAUCCCUGUACUCCCUGUUGGCUCCUGCUCUGGCUGUACCAAGCUUCUGCCAGAAUCACCACCAGGAUCAGCAGGACCAUACCAGCCACGCUCAGGGGGACACAGUUCCCCACCGUGUAAUUUGUGUAAUUUGGGGAGGGGGUUGCUGGAAGCACAAGGGCAGGAGAGUCACUCACAGGUAGGUAAGACCCAACCCAGCCCAGGACCACUGGGACUGGGUGCCAGGACCUGACCCCACCCAGCAUGCCCUUGGGCACAUUCCCAGGUGACUCAGCUGUCUGGAACCCCCUUCCGUGGGUGGGGGGCUGCUAGGAGUCAGAAAGCAAUGAUGAAUGCUUGGGCCUGACUUGGUGCAUUUGAGCUUUCUCCUCAUGACCAACACCACCCUUGACUUUCACUCCCCAGGUCAUGGGUUUAGGGCCAGAGUGUGCAGACUCAGCGGGGACAGGAGGGAUGGGUGAUCAACAGUCUGAGUCUGGGGCUGCCUACUCGGGGCCCAGGGGGCCUUUCACAGUCACGACCUCAUUUCUUCCCCCACAAGGCGGAGGAGCAGUGCAUGUCCCUAUCAGGAGGACACA